UAAAUGCGAUAAGUAGUGUGAAUUGCAGAAUUCAGUGAAUCAUCGAAUCUUUGAACGCACAUUGCGCCCCUUGGUAUUCCAUGGGGCAUGCCUGUUCGAGCGUCAUUUGUACCCUCAAGCUCUGCUUGGUGUUGGGUGUUUGUCCCCGUCUCCGCGCGUGGACUCGCCCCAAAGUGAUUGGCAGCCGGCGUACUGGUCCCGGAGCGCAGCACAUGUCGCGCAAACGAGUGCCUUGGUACGGCGGCGUCCAUAAGCCCCUCUCUCACGCUCUUGACCUCGGAUCAGGUAGGGAUACCCGCUGAACUUAAGC
rnacentral:misc_RNA from 1 species